UUAUUUUGUACCAUUUUAUUAUGUUAUGUGUAUAAUUUUAAGUGUAAAUUGUUCCCCAAUAAAUUGCAUACCCUUUUCCCUUAAUUACGAACAAUAUGUAAUAGACUAAGCUUAUUGGUUGAAUAAAACAAUUUCUCACUCUGCACGUAACACCCACGCCUUGAGUAGGCGUGGCCUAGAGUACCUACGGUGGGGAUCGCGCCGAGCGCGCCUAUAUAUACGCGCCCACCCUGGAUGCUCACUCACUCACUCAUCAAUAGCCACAGAGGCACCAGCCUCCCAACACUCUCCAAAGUUUUCUUAUAAUCAACAAAUGUGUUUUCAUUAAACACCCUACACAUCCCCGGUAAUGGUGCGGUAAUCUGGAGGUAACCUGCAGCCUGCAAGCCAGCCAGCGUGUUCCAGUCGCCGUGUACGGGUUCCUGACUUCGGAAUCUGCGAGCCCCACAGUAACUACGCUCAACAAGUACACAUCCGUUUCUGUUCCGGUUCCGUUAUGUUUGAAACGGAAGUUAUAACGGAUGUCAAUGCUUCGCGCGGCGGCGGCGUACAUCAAAAACAAACAGGUUCAUACCAGUCAUUCGCUCAUCGCCCCGCUUGCCACGUGCUACGCUAAUUUGUUGUUUAAUUGUUUGUAUACUUUGUUUUAUUCGUGUUAUUAAAAUUAAAAUUGUAUGUGU